UGUUCAUAACUUUUUAAUGCAGCUGAAAUAGUCAGAAGACAAGCUCUCUUUCCCGGUGACUCUGAGUUGCAACAGUUGCUUCACAUUUUCAGUCUGUAAUUGACAAGGAGAGGAAGGGGGAAUACUUGGGAAAGACUGUCCAGGUAUUUUGGAUCACGUGAUGCGGACUUGAUUUUGUUUCAUCUGUCUGGGGGAUAUUGAAUCUAUGCCUUUUAUCGAAGUUUUGGGUCAAUUCUCCUAUCGUGUUGGUGCAUGUUAGUCUUGUUCCAGUUCUUAAUGUCGUUGGUGAGCAGAAAACAAAGCCGACUCAGCAUAGUGUACGUGCUUUAAGGGGACUUGGCUCACCCCAAAUAUUUUAGCUUGCCGCAGUACAAAGGAAUUGGAGGAUAAUGUGAAGGAGAAACUCUCCCAGUUCUGCCAUGUGCCGGAGCUUUUGCAGGAGUAGCGGUAGAAGGUCCACUUGACGGCAGGGGAGGACCUCGAGGCACAGGGGAGGACCUCGAGGCGGCCAGGGGCAGAGCUGGGCGGCCGGGCUGCGCGGAACGGGCCGCGCGCGAGGACGUCGACGAGGUGCGCGGCGGCG